CUUUAGGGGUGAGGAGUUGAAGACCUCAGGUGUGGCUCACUUCUCACAUCUUCCUUCAGUUGUGUCCUUCAGUGCUGUUGCUGGAAAUUUUAGUGAAAUGUGGCUCUGCCUUGAACGAGAAAGUCCCAGGAUUGAUGUGUGAGUGAAGAAGCCCUCGUAAGCACCCUGUGAUGAAGAAACCCAGAAAGGCCCGCAGUUGAACAGACACUCAAGGACAAAUCCGUGCUACACCCAGGUACUAUAAACGGUGUGCUACCACUUAAAGGUUGGAAGAUCCCUGGAACUGGAACUACAGAUAGUGGUGAACCACCAUGGAGGAGCUGAGACCUGCUCCGAGACCUGCCCUCAGUUCCCUGCAACAGCAGCAAGCACUCUUAACUGGCGAACCCAUCUCUCUGUUCCUGACUUUCUUUUUUCCUCUUUAAGCACACUAACUAUAUCUACUGAUUUCUGGCCUCUAAAAUUCCUAAUGAGGCUUCUGAUUAUAAUGUCACUGAGGAUUCUUUGUGUGUAAAUAAAAUCCUUUGGAUCUAA